rnacentral:rRNA from 1 species
CUACGGGGUGCUGCAGUGAGGAAUAUUGCACAAUGGGGGGGAACCCUGAUGCAGCAACGCCGUGUGGAGGAUGACGCAUUUCGGUGUGUAAACUCCUUUUAUAUGUCAAGAAAAUGACGGUAGCAUAUGAAUAAGCACCGGCUAACUCCGUGCCAGCAGCCGCGGUAAUACGGAGGGUGCAAGCGUUACUCGGAAUCACUGGGCGUAAAGGACGCGUAGGCGGGUUGGAAAGUCAGGUGUGAAAUCCUACAGCUUAACUGUAGAACUGCACUUGAAACUUCUAAUCUAGAGUAUGGGAGGGGGAGAUGGAAUUAGUGGUGUAGGGGUAAAAUCCGUAGAUAUCACUAGGAAUACCUAAAGCGAAGGCGAUCUCCUGGAACAUUACUGACGCUAAGGCGUGAAAGCGUGGGGAGCAAACAGGAUUAGAUACCCCCGUAGUC